UUCGGAAGGAAAGCGAUACCGUGGGUAUCGCGCUCUUGGAUGGGCUCAUGCCCUAUCAGCUUGUUGGUGAGGUAACGGCUCACCAAGGCAUCGACGGGUAGCUGAUCUGAGAGGAUGAUCAGCCACACUGGCACUGCGACACGGGCCAGACUCCUACGGGAGGCAGCAGUAAGGAAUAUUGCGCAAUGGGCGAAAGCCUGACGCAGCGACGCCGCGUGGGGGAUGAAGGUCUUCGGAUUGUAAACCCCUUUCGGGAGGGAAGAUGGGAUGGGGUAACCCAUUCGGACGGUACCUCCAGAAGCAGCCACGGCUAACUUCGUGCCAGCAGCCGCGGUAAUACGAAGGUGGCAAGCGUUGUUCGGAUUUACUGGGCGUACAGGGAGCGUAGGCGGUUAGGUAAGCCCUCCGUGAAAUCUCCAGGCUUAACCUGGAAAGUGCAGAGGGGACUGCUUAGCUAGAGGAUGGGAGAGGAGCGCGGAAUUCCCGGU
rnacentral:rRNA from 1 species